rnacentral:rRNA from 1 species
GACGAACGCUGGCGGCGUGCUUAACACAUGCAAGUCGAACGGAAAGGCCCUGCUUUUGUGGGGUGCUCGAUUGGCGAACGGGUGAGUAACACGUGAGUAACCUGCCCUUGACUUUGGGAUAACUUCAGGAAACUGGGGCUAAUACCGGAUAGGAGCUCCUGCUGCAUGGUGGGGGUUGGAAAGUUUCGGCGGUUGGGGAUGGACUCGCGGCUUAUCAGCUUGUUGGUGGGGUAGUGGCUUACCAAGGCUUUGACGGGUAGCCGGCCUGAGAGGGUGACCGGCCACAUUGGGACUGAGAUACGGCCCAGACUGCUACGGGAGGCAGCAGUGGGGAAUAUUGCACAAUGGGCGGAAGCCUGAUGCAGCAACGCCGCGUGCGGGAUGACGGCCUUCGGGUUGUAAACCGCUUUCGACUGUGACGAAGCGUGAGUGACGGUAAUGGGUAAAGAAGCACCGGCUAACUACGUG